UUCGGGGUGAGCGGCGGACGGGUGAGUAACGCGUGGGAAUAUGCCCUUCUCUAAGGAAUAGCCUCGGGAAACUGAGAGUAAUACCUUAUACGCCCUACGGGGGAAAGAUUUAUCGGAGAAGGAUUAGCCCGCGUUAGAUUAGGUAGUUGGUGGGGUAAUGGCCUACCAAGCCUACGAUCUAUAGCUGGUUUGAGAGGAUGAUCAGCCACACUGGGACUGAGACACGGCCCAGACUCCUACGGGAGGCAGCAGUAGGGAAUCUUAGACAAUGGGGGAAACCCUGAUCUAGCCAUGCCGCGUGUGUGAUGAAGGCCUUAGGGUCGUAAAGCACUUUCGCCAGAGAUGAUAAUGACAGUAUCUGGUAAAGAAACCCCGGCUAACUCCGUGCCAGCAGCCGCGGUAAUACGGAGGGGGUUAGCGUUGUUCGGAAUUACUGGGCGUAAAGCGCACGUAGGCGGAUUAGUAAGUUA
rnacentral:rRNA from 1 species